CAAAGAGAGGCGAAAACGACGUCGAAAAGAGGAGAGUUUGAGGAUGAUGAAGCGGCGCAGCAGUGGAAGCCCGAAGGAGAAGGAAAGUGUCAACGCAAGGAAAGAGUAUGGGAAAACGACACGCUGCUCUUUAUCCUGUUUGAAUUGUGAGUAAAUUCAGAUUCACCCCUCUAUUGGAAUUACACAAUGAAUUCACCCUACCAGAGGGUAAACAUGUUGAUAAGCGUUAUUUUCCUUUUAAUUUGCUCCAAAAUACUUUUUCAUAUUUUAAAAUCUUUGAAGUCUAAUAUUUUUUAGAUUUCCUUUUGCAUCGUUAUAUAGGAGUAGUAGUUAUUGAUCUAUAGUUUUAAUUUUUAUGCGUUGCCGAUGCAAAUAUAUUUUACAAGUGCAGUUCAGCAUUCAGAUUAUUGUAAGAAAAUUACUUACUUUAUUUACCAGGUUACUAAUCUUCUGGAUGCACAAGAUUAAAGGCUUUCUGGCCGUAUUCUAAUUAUCUUUAUUUUCUUUAGAAAUAUAAGAAGCAUUGCAGCAAUGAGAAUGAACGAACCUUGAAUACUACGGUGAUAAGAUAGCCAUUUGGUGUAUACUAUUUUUGAAAGUAAAUCAUAAGUUACAAGAAAGACAAAGGGCAAAUAUUUAGGAGCAUCUCUUUGAUUUGUGAACUAUAAAUUUCAAUUUAAGAUUGGAAAAAGGGGGAAACAAAAGACAGAGUGAAUUAUCCAGCACAAAACAUGGAUGCAAUUAGCAAUUCUGGAAUACAAUUUCUAAAUCGCCCGAACUCAGAAAAAUGUAAUAGAGAUCAAUAUGAAAUUAUGAAUCAUCAAUAGCUGCGGCCCCAGUAUGUCCAUUUCUUAGCAGGUUUACCAGAGGCAAAGCACAAUGUACCUAUGACGUAGCAGGAGAAAAUGAUAAUAUUAGAUUAUGGCAGUAAAAUUCAAUUUUCAAUUAAUAGUACCACCAAAACAGCAGUAAAACUGACAAGUCUACAAGUAUACAUUGGCAACGCUUAACUUCGCUGCGUUUUAGGCAAUAGUUAUACAUACUGCAAGGAUAAAUAGUACCUUCAGGCAGCUCAGGCUGGUCAAAUGGAGAACAAAGAGUCUUCGCUGCACCCAUUUCCCCUUUUGUGCGUGCCUUCACAUCUUUCUCGACAUCCUAUUAGAAAGUAUCAGAGUUCAUGUGAAACGAAUGCGAACAAGAAAUGAUGAACUAGCUGGAAACACCUCAAUUUCAGAUGAAUGUGCAUCAGGAAUAACAAACUCACUAUGCAAAUUAAUAUUAUUAUCAUAAGAGAAGGAUAAGCUGCACUCACCAGAAACAAAGUGCUAUGGAAGGAUUUCUUAGUUUAAGUUCGUUCCCAUUUUCAUUAUCUUUUGGCUGGGAAAAGGAGGUGGCAUUUUUAGCAGUGUAGCCAAAAUAGUCUAUUCACCAGGGAAAACAUUAACUACAACUGAUACAAUCUUUCCCUGCUUCGUAAAAGUGAACGCAUGAUUUGUCCAAACCGGACAAACCAGACAUAGGAGCAUCCAUACUUCAUUUCUGGAUGAUGGAAGCGAGUUUCUUUAAGAUGGUUAAGGUGUGACUCUAGUUAGAGCUUAGUGAGUUUUAAACCCCUUCACGUAAAAGAGAAGAAUAUGUGACCAUCUGCAUAAGGAACACUUGUUUGUUAUCAGAUCUGACCAAUGCAUUAGUUCUGAGUCCGUCUAUUACCAUAUCUUUUAGAAGGGUUCAUGAAUCUCAAGUGAAUUCUAGAUUUAAUUUGAUAUAAUCAGUAGAUAUUGAGUGCUAAUUGACCAUGAUCGCAAUCCAUUGAAUUUCAAGAUUGACUAAAUCAACCCUGCCAAUAUGCAGAUUUCAAGAUCAAACUUGCCUGAUGUCUGACUCUGUGAAACUCCCUCUGUUAUCGCGGCCCAACACAUUGAAGAGGAAAAUAAAAAAUUCAUCUCAUUUGAUAGGAUUUUACCUCCUCAUCACACCAAGGAGCCAAGAUCAACUUCUUUUGGCUUAGUGCUUCAGCAAAUUCAUCCCAGGUCUUUACAACCUGAACACAAGCAUCUCGCUUUUGUUUUGCAACAUCAAACAGAUUUUGUUGGAUAGAGGCGAGCACAUCUUUUACUUGUUCGACUAAAUUUGCCACAGGAAUAUCUGUUUUCGCUCCGUUGUCACGCCGAACAGCUCGUACCUGGGAAAGUUAUUUCAGAGUUUUGGAUCG
rnacentral:lncRNA from 1 species